rnacentral:rRNA from 1 species
CCUACGGGAGGCAGCAGUGAGGAAUCUUGGACAAUGGGGGCAACCCUGAUCCAGCCAUGCCGCGUGAACGAUGAAGGCCUUAGGGUCGUAAAGCACUUUCAGCAAGGAGGAAGGCAGUACGGUUAAUACCCGUGCUGAUUGACGUUACUUGCAGAAGAAGCACCGGCUAACUC